UACGGAGGAUCCGAGCGUUAUCCGGAUUUAUUGGGUUUAAAGGGAGCGUAGGUGGAUUGUUAAGUCAGUUGUGAAAGUUUGCGGCUCAACCGUAAAAUUGCAGUUGAAACUGGCAGUCUUGAGUACAGUAGAGGUGGGCGGAAUUCGUGGUGUAGCGGUGAAAUGCUUAGAUAUCACGAAGAACUCCGAUUGCGAAGGCAGCUCACUGGACUGCAACUGACACUGAUGCUCGAAAGUGUG
rnacentral:rRNA from 1 species